UGUGCACCUGGACCCUCGCCGGAGCAGACAGUGAAAAACAUAAUACGAAAUCCUUCAAAACCACAUUUUUCAUCUGUGUUUAAACAUGGGGUUUGAUUUCCAAAAACAUCGACGUCCCCUUGUCAUGGGCAGUAUAUUCGCCAUGUUGUCACUAGUGUAUACUUUUCGACUUGAUUUAAUCGGAGACAUUUCAAAAGAGAAACAAGAACUUCUCCGACAGACAGAUGUCAGUGGCAGCAAUAAGAUAAAGGAAACCAUAAGAGAAACCCAGCUUGAUUACUUCAGAAAUUUAUCUGGGGAAAAGAAAUAAUUAUGGACCCUUUCCUGUAAGGCUGAAUAUGCAGACAACUGUGAUAGGGGUGCUGGAAGGCCAGAAGAAUGGCAUUUCCAAAACUUUGUAAAUAGAU